rnacentral:tRNA from 2 species
GUUACUUUGGCAGAAAAGUGUAAUGAAUUUAGAAUUCAUUUAUGUAAAUGAUUUUACAAGUAAUA